AUUGGAUGUUUCACAUCAAAAAUCCUAUUUUUAAGAAGUACACAAAGAAAGAAGAUCAUUACAAGAAUGGUCUUUCCUUCAUUCCUACACCCUUUUGGAAAAAGAUGGUGGAUAAAUGGAUGGAUGGAGAAUGAGGGGAUGGUACUAGCAGAGAUGAAGAGGACAACUCAAACAAUAACAUGGAGGUUGAAAGCAACUUGGAGGGUGACCUAGAGGAAAACUAAUAUAGAUCUUUUCAUAAUUCUAGUUGUUUAAAACAAUAUUUUUAUGUCAUGGUUUAAUUUCAGGAUUUUUUUGUAUAUUCUAUAUUAUAAAGUUUGAACUUAUAAGAAUUUUUAUGUUUCAAUGGAUCAAUUUUUAGUAA